GAGUUUGAUCAUGGCUCAGGAUGAACGCUAGCGGCAGGCUUAACACAUGCAAGUCGAGGGGUAUAGUUCUUCGGAAUUAGAGACCGGCGCACGGGUGCGUAACGCGUAUGCAAUCUACCUUUCACAGAGGGAUAGCCCAGAGAAAUUUGGAUUAAUACCUCAUAGUAUAACGACUCUGCAUGGAGAUGUUAUUAAAGUCACAACGGUGAAAGAUGAGCAUGCGUCCCAUUAGCUAGUUGGUAAGGUAACGGCUUACCAAGGCUACGAUGGGUAGGGGUCCUGAGAGGGAGAUCCCCCACACUGGUACUGAGACACGGACCAGACUCCUACGGGAGGCAGCAGUGAGGAAUAUUGGACAAUGGGCGCAAGCCUGAUCCAGCCAUGCCGCGUGCAGGAUGACGGUCCUAUGGAUUGUAAACUGCUUUUGCACAGGAAGAAACAACGCUACGUGUAGCGUCUUGACGGUACUGUGAGAAUAAGGAUCGGCUAACUCCGUGCCAGCAGCCGCGGUAAUACGGAGGAUCCAAGCGUUAUCCGGAAUCAUUGGGUUUAAAGGGUCCGUAGGCGGUUUAGUAAGUCAGUGGUGAAAGCCCAUCGCUCAACGGUGGAACGGCCAUUGAUACUGCUAGACUUGAAUUAUU
rnacentral:rRNA from 1 species